rnacentral:rRNA from 1 species
UACAGGGGGUGCAAACGUUGCUCGGAAUCAUUGGGCGUAAAGCGCACGUAGGCGGUUCGUUAUGUCGGAUGUGAAAGCCCUUGGCUUAACCGAGGAAGUGCAUCCGAAACUGGCGAGCUAGAGUACGAAAGAGGAUCGCGGAAUUCCCGGUGUAGAGGUGAAAUUCGUAGAUAUCGGGAGGAACACCAGUGGCGAAGGCGGCGACCUGGACAGAUAUUGACGCUGAGGUGCGAAAGCGUGGGGAGCAAACAGG